rnacentral:rRNA from 2 species
UAGGGAAUCUUCGGCAAUGGGGGGAACCCUGACCGAGCAACGCCGCGUGAGUGAAGAAGGUUUUCGGAUCGUAAAGCUCUGUUGUUAAGGAAGAACGAGUGUGAGAAUGGAAAGUUCAUGCUGUGACGGUACUUAACCAGAAAGGGACGGCUAACUACGUGCCAGCAGCCGCGGUAAUACGUAGGUCCCGAGCGUUGUCCGGAUUUAUUGGGCGUAAAGCGAGCGCAGGCGGUUAGAAAAGUCUGAAGUGAAAGGCAGUGGCUCAACCAUUGUAGGCUUUGGAAACUGUUUAACUUGAGUGCAGAAGGGGAGAGUGGAAUUCCAUGUGUAGCGGUGAAAUGCGUAGAUAUAUGGGGGAACACCGGUGGCGAAAGCGGCUCUCUGGUCUGUAACUGACGCUGAGGCUCGAAAGCGUGGGGAGCGAACAGG